UUGAACGGGAUUUGUAUGGUGCUUGCACCAUGUAAUGAGAGUAGCGCACUGCUGUGUAACACGUGGGAACAUACCUUGAAGUGGGGGACAACAGUUGGAAACGACUGCUAAUACCGCAUAAUCCCUGAGGGGGAAAGAUUUAUCGCUUUAAGAUUGGCCCGCGGAAGAUUAGGUAGUUGGUGGGGUAAAGGCCUACCAAGCCGACGAUCUAUAGCUGGUCUGAGAGGACGAACAGCCACAUUGGAACUGAGACACGGUCCAGACUCCUACGGGAGGCAGCAGUGAGGAAUAUUGGGCAAUGGAGGAAACUCUGUCCCAGCCAUGCCGCGUGAGUGAAGGAGGUUUUCGAAUUGUAAAGCUCUUUCGGAUGGGACGAUGAUGACGGUACCAUCUAAAGAAGCCCCGGCAAACUUCGUGCCAGCAGCCGCGGUAAUACGAAGGGGGCAAGCGUUGUUCGGAAUUACUGGGCGUAAAGGGUGUGUAGGCGGAUUUGUAAGAUAGUGGUGAAAUACCUGAGCUCAACUUAGGAAUUGCCAUUAUAACUAUAGAUCUGGAGUGACAGAGAGGAUAUUGGAAUACCCAGUGUAGAGGUGAAAUUCGUAGAUAUUGGGUAGAACACCAGUGGCGAAGGCGAGUAUCUGGCUGUCAACUGACGCUGAGGCACGAAAGCAUGGGGAUCAAACAGGAUUAGAUACCCUGGUAGUCCAUGCUGUAAACGAUGAAUGCUAGUUGUCGGCAAAAGCCGGUGACGCAGUUAACGCGAUAAGCAUUUCGCCUGGGGAGUAC
rnacentral:rRNA from 1 species